rnacentral:piRNA from 1 species
UGUACAGCUUUAAUCCCAGGACU